rnacentral:misc_RNA from 1 species
GCGGAAAACCGCCUUCAGCACGGUGACGACGAAUUCGCGCGGCGUGUAGUCAUCGUUGAGCAGGAUCACCUUGCAAAGCGGCGGCCGCUCCAGCUUGAUCUUGGUCUUGGUGGUGGUUUUCGGUUUGACGGUUGUCGGGCUCAUCAGGCAUCUCUCGGACUGGUCUGUCUCGGACACGUUUGCGGGUUGGUAUCGUUCGUUCCGC